AGCUCCCUCUCGGCUUCCGUCCGGCGGCGCCUGAAAGCUCGAGCACGGGCGGCCCGACUCACCCUUCUCAGACCCUUUCCGGUGGCCUCGCCUCUGGGAAGUUCUCAAAGGGCACCACCUUGACGAAAGUAUAGGAUGCUGGUGGAAAGGGCCCCCAGAGUGCCUGAAGGAAGAAGCCCAGGAGGGCCCAGAGGAACAGUGAAAGUCCACAGCUGACUUGGAGGGAAUCAGGGAAUGUAAAUAAAGUGACUUAUAGUAUUCGUUAGACUACAGGGAUGUAUGAAGAUGUGCGACCAUCAUUCAAGGAAGACGAACCGGGUUCGAAUCCAGGCUCUGCUGCUUAAUACCUUUGUGACCUUAACCUGAGCAAAACCAGAACAAAUUAUGUAGUAAAAAAACAAUGUGGUAAAGAAAGAUUUCAGUGCUGUGCAUCAAUGACAGACCACUAUUUCCAGACUACCAGAGAGGCAUACUACCCACCUUCCAACAGGGGUGAUGGACUCAGAAUGAAGAAGUAGAAGGUCCAUUUGGUGGCUUAGCCAGUAUAGGAAUUUGCUUUGCUUGACUAUGCAUAUCUGUUGUAAGGAUUUUCUUUUGCUUCAAAUUCAGUGGAGGGGAAGGGCAGUUGAGAGAAAAUAAAUACUUGUUAAUUGGGGGGAAAAUGUUGAGAUUAAGAAGUGGGGUGGUGGUGAAAACAAGUCACUUCAUUUCUUUGGGCUUCGUUUUCCUCCUGUGUUAAAUGAGAGGUUUGGACAAGUUGACCUUUAAAGGACCUUUCCAUCUCUUGAGUAUAUGAUCCUUUGAAGUCCUGUAUGCACCAAGGAAGUAGACCAAAUCAAACAUAUCUCCUAAGGUAGCAACAGGCAUUGGACUCCGCCAGAAAUUGUGUUGUGUACAACACUUUUUUUUAACUAUGUGACCACCACACUUGUGAAAAGUAGGGAUAAUAGCUUAUGAAUGUAUUGUGAAAAUACUUAGCAAUGCUGUUACAACAUACUUUUCAAAGUGUAUGAAGACUAACAAAUGAAAAAAGCUGUAAGUUCUAUGAAAGGCAGCAGGAAUGCAUUGGAAAGUGUCCUGAAUCGGGAAUCAAAGGAACUGGGUUCAAAUCUUGAAUGUGCCACUUAUUGGGGAAGGUCACACAACCCCUCUGGAUCUCAGUUUCCUCAUCAGAUAACCUCUGAGAUCCUUCCCAGCUCUCAGUCAGUGAUCUUUACUGGUAUUCUGCUUCUGAUGUUCUAAAUAUCUUGAACAACUAGAAGAGAUGAAAAAGUUUCUAAGUGAGAAUGCAAAAAAAAAUAGAUUUCUGUUGCUGGAGAAAAGUACAAAGCCAAGAUGAAGAAUGGUAGUAUUUAUUAGUGCAAUUCAGACACCUCCCACCUCCCUCAGACAAAGUGCCUGCAAAACUCAAUAAUCUUAAGUAUCUGUUUUCAGCUUUCCUGUAGCUGUAGAGACCAGAUAUUGAUAAUGUCACUGAAAUGUUUUAAAUGUUAUAGAGAAAGUGGCUUUACUAAAAUGUGGAAGGACUAUGUCAUCCAAAACAGAAGCCUAGGGGUGUUAAGAAAGGUCCAUUACUUUGCUCAUGUGACAGUCUAAUAGAUGGAAACCAGUGUAUUAGGAUAAAUUAGCUAGCCAUUUAAAAUAAAUAGGAGUAGACACAUGACUAAGGUGUAUAAACAGAACAACAUGUGGUGUACUGACCACGUUUUGUUCCACAAAGCCAUUUUCUUUUCAGAGCCAGCAAGACCUUGCCAAAUACCUUGCUUUGGGAAAAUUUCUGUUCACACUGCUCUGAAGGGGAAAAAAAAAAGGAUCAUAAAUCAGUGGUUUUCAACCUGUGUUCCAUGACACCCUGGGGGUUCUACAAGCAGUGACCAAAGGUUACAUGGAAAAAAGUGGUAAUGGCAGGUUUUACUUUUUGAACACCUCUAAUUCCUUUGGCUAUGUAUAUUUCAUUGAACAUAUUUUUUAAAUCACCUCGAAAAUGUUGAAUGUACAACCUUGCCCAAAUUUCCCAUUUUAUAUAUUUUUCAAAUUGUAUGGGUUUUUUCCCUCAACACUGUUAAUUUUUUUAAUAUCCUAAAUGGCCAUUUGGGAUAUAUAGAUUACAUGAGUAAAGGUUCAACAGAGUUAGGUGGAGGUUUGAAAGGUUUGGCUGGCUUUUAAAAAGAUUAAAAACUAGACUGCUCUUUAUAAGAGACUUGUUAGCUAAAUAAAUGUCAGAAUAUACUUAGAACUACGGAAAGCUACCAUUGGUUAUGGUGUGUAAUUUUCUCCCUUAUACCUGUACAUAUCUUUCUUUUAAAUGCAUAGUUUUAUCUGAUUUAGGGUAUCAACUCUCUUAACACUUAUUCAAUCUGCAUUUUUUUUUUUUGGAGAUGUAAUCAGGGUUAAGUGACUUGCCCAGUGUAACACAGUAAGUGUCAGAUGACUGAAGCUGUACUUGAACUCAAGUCCUCCUGACUCCAGGGCUGGUGUUCUAUGUAUUGUAUCACUUCACUGCCCCUUCAGUCUGCAUAUUUAAAUGCUCAUUGUUUGAUCUAGACUUAUAUGUGUCAACAAAUUUUCUGUAACUUAUUUUCUUAAAGAGUUACUUAGCUCAUGUAAGAGGUUAACUGAUUUACCAGCCAUAUUCACAACCAUUAUGUAUCAGAAGCAGGAUCCUGACUUCAAGGCCAGCUGUAUAUUCAAUAUGCCAUACUUCCUCUCUUAGACUAAAUGUUUGAAAUGAAUUUGAAAUAAAAUAUAACACUGGAUUUCA